GUAUUUAAUAUAUUAUAUUUUUCCAAAAAAUUUAAGUAGAAAUUACCGCAUUCCACCUAAAAAUCUCUAUAUUACAUUCGUUAAACUGUAAUUAUAUUAAUAAAGCUUUUUCACACAGAAAUCCUCUCACCAUGGCACCUUCAAAAAAUAAUUUACAUUUCACUUUUUGUUCUACCUUUUAUCUGUAAAUCAAUCAGCUGUUUCCUACACCAAAAACAUGCAAUCACAUGAAUAUCUAAGAUACUGCGCCUGAAUUGCACACCUGCUGGCAGUCGCUUUGUUCCUCAGCCAAUACAGCAGAAACAGUAAAAGGAAAAUGCCAAUAGCGACAGACACCCAACGAAGUAAACGUCAACAAUAGCAACAAAGCAACGGCAAGGCCAGUACACUGCACAACGACCCAUAACAGCAGCAGUAACAACAACAGCAAUAGCAAUAGCAACAAUGGCAAUCGCACAUAACAGCGAUAAUAAUAAUAAACAACACUUCACUGCACAUGACUUUGCAAUCACAAAUAUAACACACAACUGCAUUUAGAGUGAUAUACAAAUAUAUAAACAUACCUAUGGGUAUGGAUAUAUACAUAUAUUUCUAUAAGUAGUCAAGUACAAGGAUAGAGCUUCUUAGAAGAACUGCUAAUGGAUCUUUAAUGGGAACCUCUUUUAUAGCAGCAACAACAGCGGAUGCUUUUCGGAUACCUGCUGUAUGACUAGAAAUUACUCACUGUACUGUGACUAAUACUUUACUUAAAAUAUCCCAAUAUUAAGUACAAAUUUAUUUCACUGUACCAAAAAACAUUUUUUUAUUUCGCUCGUGCCGGCGAAUGAACUUUAAGACAGCAAAUGACAGCGUAUAAAUGAAUGAUCUAAGCUUUUUCAAAAAUUUGUUGUAUAUAAAUCAAGUUCUUAAAAUUUUUUCCAACAACUGCAAAUUCCUGCGCAACAUUGCCGCGAAUAAUUAAUCAAUUUCAUUGGGUUUGUUAAGAACAGCUGUUAUUAUAUAUGUAUGUACAUGUAUCGUAUCAUAUUGUAAAAAAGAGAAAGAUAAGCAAUAAUGCUAGAAGAAUGCAAUAUUAACAUAUGUAUAAACACUAGAGACAUGCAGAUUUAGCACUUCGAUGCGCUAAGUACUUUUUGGCACAACGCCAAUGAAAUCAAAUCGUCACGUAGUCCAAGAAGUAAGAAUGUGAGUAAUUUCAAAAUUAUUUUUCAAUAAAUAAAUUGU